CGUAGGUGGCGAGCGUUGUCCGGAAUUACUGGGUGUAAAGGGCGUGUAGGCGGGAAUGUAAGUCAGAUGUGAAAUGCCGAGGCUUAACCUCGGAGCUGCAUCUGAAACUGCGUUUCUUGAGUGUCGGAGAGGAAAGUGGAAUUCCCAGUGUAGCGGUGAAAUGCGUAGAUAUUGGGAGGAACACCAGUGGCGAAGGCGACUUUCUGGACGAUAACUGACGCUGAGGCGCGAAAGCGUGGGGAGCAAACAGGAUUAGAUACCCUGGUAGUCCACGCUGUAAACGAUGGAUACUAGGUGUGGGAGGUAUCGACCCCUUCCGUGCCGCAGUUAACACAAUAAGUAUCCCACCUGGGGAGUACGGCCGCAAGGUUG
rnacentral:rRNA from 1 species